rnacentral:rRNA from 1 species
CCUACGGGAGGCAGCAGUGAGGAAUAUUGCACAAUGGGGGAAACCCUGAUGCAGCGACGCCGCGUGAGCGAUGAAGUAUUUCGGUAUGUAAAGCUCUAUCAGCAGGGAAGAAAAUGACGGUACCUGACUAAGAAGCCACGGCUAACUACGUGCCAGCAGCCGCGGUAAUACGUAGGGGGCACGCGGUAUCCGGAUUUACUGGGUGAAAAGGGAGCGUAGACGGCGGUGCAAGCCAGAUGUGAAAGCCCGGGGCUCAACCCCGGGACUGCAUUUGGAACUGUGCUGCUAGAGUGUCGGAGAGGCAGGCGGAAUUCCAGGUGUAGCGGUGAAAUGCGUAGAUAUUAGGAGGAACACCAGUGGCGAAGGCGGCCUGCUGGACGAUGACUGACGUUGAGGCGCGAAAGCGUGGGGAGCAAACAGGAUUAGAUACCCUAGUAGUC